CUACGGGGCGCUGCAGUGGGGAAUAUUGCACAAUGGGCGCAAGCCUGAUGCAGCAACGCCGCGUGGGGGACGAAGGCCUUCGGGUUGUAAACCUCUUUUAGUAGGGAAGAAGCGCAAGUGACGGUACCUACAGAAAAAGCACCGGCUAACUACGUGCCAGCAGCCGCGGUAAUACGUAGGGUGCAAGCGUUGUCCGGAAUUAUUGGGCGUAAAGAGCUCGUAGGCGGUUUGUCGCGUCUGCUGUGAAAAUCCGAGGCUCAACCUCGGACCUGCAGUGGGUACGGGCAAACUAGAGUGCGGUAGGGGAGAUUGGAAUUCCUGGUGUAGCGGUGGAAUGCGCAGAUAUCAGGAGGAACGCCAAUGGCGAAGGCAGAUCUCUGGGCCGUAACUGACGCUGAGGAGCGAAAGCGUGGGGAGCGAACAGGAUUAGAUACCCUUGUAGUC
rnacentral:rRNA from 1 species